rnacentral:misc_RNA from 1 species
AACGCACCUUGCGCUCCUUGGUAUUCCUUGGAGCAUGCCUGUUUGAGUAUCAUGAAAUUCUCAAAGUAAAUCUUUUGUUAAUUCAAUUGGUUCUGCUUUGGACUUGGAGGUCUUUGCGGAUUAACUAUCUGCUCCUCUUAAAUUUAUUAGCUGGAUCUCAGUAUAUGCUUGGUUCCAACUCGGCGUGAUAAGUUAUCACUCGCUGAGGACACUGUAAAAGGUGGCCAGGAAAUACAGAUGGAACCGCUUCUAAUAGUCUAUUAAAUUAGACAAUUACUUUUAAGAUCUGAUCUCAAAUCAGGUAGGACUACCCGCUGAACUUAA